CAUCACCAUGGCUCACUAUAUUGUUAGUCUGACAACUGGACCAGAGCAAGAAGUAGCAGCUACUCUAGAUACCUUGGAGGCAAUAAAUUGGAUUCAGACCAGAAGUGCUGCUGUACCUUCAAAUGCAUACUCCUUUGCCACAAAGUACUGAAUACAAGUACAAUGUUACCCAAUUUUUUUAGAAGACAAAAUCAAAGUAUCAGACUAAAAUGUUGCCAUGUAGGAGAUAUAUUCUCUUGCCUGUGUGUCAAACUGCCUCUCCAGCUCUCUGGUUCCCAUAAUACUUAGAUUUGCUGCUAAGAGGUGAAAUGAUCUGAAAAAAAGAGAUUGUUCGCUCUCAGUGUAAGAAAUGAAGUGAUUUCUGUACAUUGGUUCUGUAUCCUACAACAUCAC